AUGGAGAACGACGGCGUCCCCAACGGACCAGCGGCGCCGGCGCCUACCCAGGCGACGCCGGUGGUGCGGGAGCAGGACCGGCUGAUGCCGAUCGCAAACGUGAUCCGCAUCAUGCGCCGCGCGCUCCCUGCCCAUGCCAAGAUCUCCGACGAAGCCAAGGAGGCGAUCCAAGAAUGCGUGUCGGAGUUCAUCAGCUUCGUCACCGGCGAGGCCAACGAACGGUGCCGCAUGCAGCGCCGCAAGGCCGUCAAUGCCGAAGACAUCGUGUGGGCCCUAAACCGCCUCGGCUUCGACGACUACGUCGUGCCCCUCAGCGUCUUCCUGAAGCGCAUGCGCGACCCCGAGGCGGGGACAGGCUCAGCCCCCGAUGUACGCGCCCCCAGCUCCGGUGCAGGUUCAGAAUCAGAUGCAGCGGCCCGUGUAUGCUCCCCGGGCUCCGGUGCAGGUUCAGAAUCAGGUGCAGCGGCCUGUGUAUGCUCCCCGGCUCCGCUACAGGUUCAGAUGCAGCAGGGCAUCUAUGGGCCCCGGGCUCCAGUGCACGGGUACGCCGUCGGAAUGGCACCGGUGCGGGCCAACGUCGGCGGGCAGUACCAGGUGUUCGGCGGAGAGCGUGUCAUGGGCCAGCAAUACUACGGGUACGGGGAAGGAGCGUACGGCGCAGGUAGCAGCAACGGAGGAGCCGGCAUUGGCGACCAGGAGAGCUCGUCCAACGGCGUGCCGGCGCCGGGGGAGGGCAAGGGGGAGCCAGAGCCAGAGCCAACAGCAGAAGAAUCGCAGGACAAGCCCGUCCAAUCUGGCUAG
rnacentral:rRNA from 1 species